rnacentral:rRNA from 1 species
UGGGGAAUAUUGGACAAUGGGCGAAAGCCUGAUCCAGCCAUGCCGCGUGUGUGAAGACGGUCUUCGGAUUGUAAAGCACUUUAAGUUGGGAGGAAGGGCAGUAAGCGAAUACCUUGCUGUUUUUACGUUACCGACAGAAUAAGCACCGGCUAACUCUGGGCCAGCAGCCGCGGUAAUACAGAGGGUGCAAGCGUUAAUCGGAAUUACUGGGCGUAAAGCGCGCGUAGGUGGUUCGUUAAGUUGAAUGUGAAAGCCCCGGGCUCAACCUGGGAACUGCAUCCGAAACUGGCGAGCUAGAGUAGGGCAGAGGGUAGUGGAAUUUCCUGUGUAGCGGUGAAAUGCGUAGAUAUAGGAAGGAACACCAGUGGCGAAGGCGACCACCUGGGCUCAUACUGACACUGAGGUGCGAAAGCGUGGGGAGCAAACAGG